UACAGAGGUCUCAACCGUUGUUCGGAUUCAUUGGGCGUAAAGGGCGCGUAGGCGGCCUGCUAAGUCGAACGUGAAACCCCUGGGCUCAACCCAGGAACUGCGUCCGAUACUGGUUGGCUUGAAUCCGGGAGAGGGAUGUGGAAUUCCAGGUGUAGCGGUGAAAUGCGUAGAUAUCUGGAGGAACACCGGUGGCGAAGGCGACAUCCUGGACCGGUAUUGACGCUGAGGCGCGAAAGCCAGGGGAGCAAACGGG
rnacentral:rRNA from 1 species